rnacentral:tRNA from 1 species
GCCCCCGUAGCACAAUGGACAGAGCACCAGCCUUCUAAGCUGUUGGUUGUGAGUUCGAAUCUCACCGGGGGCG